GAUCUGGAAUCAGAUAUUGCACUUUUUCUCUGAUAUCCCUUGCUAAAAGCGUAAAAAAAAAAAAAAAAACAAAAGAAAUACUAUUUUCCUUUCCUUUCCUUUCUUUUCCUGCAAACAGACCCCAGAAAAUAUCUCCGCAUUUGUCUCCGACUCUGAUCCAAUCUAAUCUGAAUUAAUCAAAUUUUGGAGACUUUACAGAGUGUAAAAAUUAUGGGAGAGGAGGUGAAGAUGAGUGAAUAUGAAGCCAACGGCGACAAUACCAACGUAGACGAAGAUAGAAUUGCAGAGUGGGAGAUUGGUUUACCUACUGCCGAUGACCUCACUCCUUUAUGUCAACCGUUGAUUCCGCCAGAGCUCGCUUCAGCUUUCAGUAUCUCGCUGGAACCUAAUAAAACGAUUCUUGACGUCAAUAGAGCUUCGCAAAAUACUCUCUCGAGUAUCCGUGGCGGUGCCGCCGCCGGCGCCGGAGGUGGACAGUUUAACGCGCUGUCCUCGAAUAACUUUAAGUCCUAUAAUGAAGACCGAGCACGUGAAUCGAUGGAGGCGGAGGCGGAGGAGAACAAUACGGAUCCGGAUGGUACGGGGUCCGAGUCGAGGAAGUUGAGGAGACUUGAUUCGGAAGAGGCAGAUUCGGCUCUGAAAACAGAGAAUUCCGGUGAUGAUCCGUCGGCGAGGACGCUGAAACGACCUCGUCUUGUUUGGACUCCGCAGCUGCAUAAAAGAUUCGUGGAUGUGGUGGCUUAUCUCGGGAUAAAAAACGCUGUACCUAAGACUAUCAUGCAGUUGAUGAACGUAGAAGGUUUGACCCGCGAGAAUGUCGCGAGUCAUCUGCAGAAGUACCGUCUUUAUUUGAAGAGGAUGCAGGGAUUGUCAAAUGAGGGACCCUCGUCUUCUGAUCAGUUAUUUGCUUCCACGCCUGUGCCGCAGAGUUUGCAUGAAAGUGGCGGUGGCAGUGUCGGUGGCGGAAGUAAUGGUGUAGGAAGUGGAGCUGCACCUGGGAAAGGCCACUUGGGAAUGCCUAUUCCUGUCCCGUAUCAUCCUGCGGCAGGACCUAUGAUGCCAAUGCCGGUUUAUGGACAUAUGGGAAUGCAAAUGGGCAAUAAUAAUCAUCAUCACCAUCAGCAACUCAAUCAUCACCAUCAGCAUGGGUUUGAUGGUAAUCUUCCAUAUAAUAUGUUACAGCAGAGAGAUUGGAGUGGGAAUAAUUAUGGCUCAGUUAUGUCUCACUCUCAUCAUCCUCACCGUGUUGUUCCUCCUAAUGAUAAUAUGUGAUAACAUAAAGAGUUCUUUUUGACACGCUCUAGGGACAGAGAGAAAGAGAAACGAAUAGUCCAGCCCUUGAUUGUAGUGAUAUCAAAUGAGAGGCUUGAAGUUUACCUGUUUUCCAACAGGGCCCUCUCACAGGUUUUAAGAUUCUGAAGAUUGAUUAAACCUUGUUAUUCAAAUUAACUCAUAAGGAAUGGCUGAAAAUUAGCGCAUUUCACAAACAUGAGAGGGUUUUGAGGAGGAAGUGUACGAAGAAUUCAGAUGUGAUGGGGGUUCUGCAACAAUCGUGAAAUCCUUCUCUCAGUAUAUACCCUGCUAGAGUUAUUAAAGGACAGCCAAAGGAUCAGGGCACAUCAGUUAUGGUUACUCCGGAUGAUGACAAGUCAGCAUACAUUCUUAACCUGUUCUUUAAUUGAUAAAUGUUUUCUUUUUUUGGCAAUAGAGAAAAAGUGAAUAAAAGGAACAUUAAGCAAAAUUCAGCUAUGACCUACAAUAUUGUCUACUGACUGUCAUUGUCUGUGUGUUCUUUUGGGAGUUGUCUUGAAACUGAAACUUAGUUUCAAACUUCUGUUCAAGCCAAAGCCUUCUCAUUCAGUUAUGCAUUUUAAAAUUUUAUACUUUCAAAA